UGGCUUUCCUCCCUCCAUUCUUCUGUCCCUUUCCCUUGCCUUUCACCCCCCUUGCCUCCCACUGAACCGAGAACUCCCCAGACUCUGUUGAGAUUGUUUUCCAUAGGCUUUUCGUUUCUGGAAAGAAGAGGGCUCUCUGCUUCAGAAGAAAUGAAAAUCUCAGUGAUUCUGAAACUUACUACAUACCUGAGGACAACCUUCAACUCCCAAUACUGCUGCCUCCACCUUCUGAAUGUUCGAAUUAUAGGCUUGCACCACCACAUUUAACACUGAUGUAUAGUUUUUGA